UGGGGAAUUUUCUGCAAUGGGCGAAAGCCUGACAGAGCAACGCCGCGUGGGGGAUGAAGGCCUUCGGGUUGUAAACCCCUUUCAGGAGGGAAGAAAUUGACGGUACCUCCAAAAGAAGCACCGGCCAACUACGUGCCAGCAGCCGCGGUAAUACGUAGGGUGCGAGCGUUAUCCGGAAUCAUUGGGCGUAAAGAGCUCGUAGGCGGUUCAGCAAGUCGGCUGUGAAAGUCCGAGGCUCAACCUCGGAACUGCAGUCGAUACUGCUGUGACUCGAGUCCGGUAGAGGAGAAUGGAAUUCAGGGUGUAGCGGUGAAAUGCGCAGAUAUCCUGAGGAACACCAGUAGCGAAGGCGGUUCUCUGGGCCGGUACUGACGCUGAGGAGCGAAAGCGUGGGUAGCAAACAGGAUUAGAUACCCGCGUAGUCC
rnacentral:rRNA from 1 species